rnacentral:ncRNA from 1 species
GACGGCGGAACGAAAAACACGGCCCGGUUGGUAGUCCGGGCGCGGCCUGCAGCGUCUGUCCCGCGCGGCAGGCCGUCAGUAACCUGCCUCCUUGGUUGUCCGCGUUCCGUAUGCAGUUA